CAGUUCUGGUCAAGGAAUAAGUUUGUCUCAACUCCUCAGACUUUAGAAGGAGAAUGGGACUAUCUUCCAGACAAAUGCUAUAGUUUCACUAGAAGUUGGAAAAUAUAUCAAACAUUGGUUCUUCAAUGUGUUUCACUUGUUCUGAUUUCCCAUUUUCUCAACUUAUUCUGCAUACUUUAUGCAGAGUAUCAUGAAACAAGAGAGUUGGAAUACCGUGCUUUUUUCUUGGAAAAAAGAAGAAAGAAAGAAAGAAACAACCACAAAGUCCAGCUGAGCAAUGUGCCAUCACAUCUACCCCCAUGCAGAAGCGCUCGGGCAGCAUUUGCGCUGGAAGCUUUGCAGCUGUGCAAGUCAAAUGAACAGGCACUACUUUGCCCUCAGAUCUGGUAGGCCCCAAGGUACAGAUAUGAGCAGUCAAAAUGUCCUACUUAGCAUCAUGAAGUGCCCACCCAUGCGCGAGGG
rnacentral:lncRNA from 1 species